rnacentral:rRNA from 1 species
AUUGAACGCUGGCGGCAGGCCUAACACAUGCAAGUCGAGCGAGCGGCGGACGGGUGAGUAAUGUAUGGGGACUGCCCGAUAGAGGGGGAUAACUACUGGAAACGGUGGCUACUACCGCAUACUAUCGGAUAACCCAUAUGGGAUUAGCUAGUAGGUGGGGUAAAGGCUCACCUACGCGACGAUCUCUAGCUGGGCUGAGAGGAUGAUCGGCAAAACUGGGACUGAGACACGGCACAGCGUUCGAGGGAGGAAGCAGUGGGGAAUAGUGCACAAUGGGCGCAAGCCGGAUGCAGCCAUGGCGCGGGAAUGAAGAAGGCCUUAGGGGUGUAAAGUACUUUAAGCGGGGAAGCGUUACCCGCAGAAGAAGCACCGGCUAACUCCGUGCCAGCAGCCGCGGUAAUUC